rnacentral:tRNA from 1 species
GGGCAUGUGGCUCAGUGGUAGAGUGCUUGCCUAGCAUGCAUGAAGCCCUGGGUUCGAUUCCUCAGUACCA